UGCGUAGGCGGUUUGUUAAGUCACUUGUAAAAGAUCUCAGCCCAACUGAGUAAGGCGAGUGAAACUGGCAGACUUGAAUACGGUAGAGGUAAGUGGAAUUCCAUGUGUAGCGGUGGAAUGCGUAGAUAUAUGGAGGAACACCAAUGGCGAAGGCAACUUACUGGGCCGGAAUUGACGCUGAGGCAUGAAAGCGUGGGGAGCAAACAGGAUUAGAUACCCUGGUAGUCC
rnacentral:rRNA from 1 species